GGAUGUGAGGGCGAUUUGGCUGUGUCAUCUGUCACCCCACUGAUCGCCAGGGUUGAUUCGGCUGAUCUGGCUAGCUAGGCAGUGUCCCCUCCUCCCUCACCGCUCCAUGUGCGCCCCUCCCGAAGCUGCGCGCGCACGCUCGGUCGAAGAGGACGACCACCCCCGAUAGAGGAGGACCGUUUCCUCGGUCAAGGGUAUCCAAGUACCUGCGCUCCCCUGCUAGAACCUCCAAACAAGCUCUCAAGGUCCCCCUGUCCCCAGGGAACACGGCUCCUAGAAACACAC
rfam:Heterocephalus glaber contig50336, whole genome shotgun sequence.